AUCAUUAUGGGAUGACGCAGCUGCAACCUUUCAAGCUUAUCUCACUUCUGGAGACACGAUAAAUUCUGUCAUGUUGGUAACUACAAUAAAUCCAAAGCUGUUUGGAGGUAAUUUGUAUUUGAACUCCACUCCAGCAACCCGGUUUUAUUUCGACCUUUCCAUUGAGGCAAUCAACCAAUUUACAAAAAGGUCAUGCUUAUUACAACUAAUAAUUUCAAAGUACCAUUGAGGUUAUCAAAAUCUAACCGAGUUGUUUCUUAUGGAGGAUGGGAAUAGAAGCUACCAAGCAUUUGCAAAAGCAGACACAUCCGAAGGAAUAAAAAAAAGAAAUGCUUUGCAUUGCUGAACUUUACAAGUUCAUAUCAAACUCUAAUGAACAUGUUAUUUUUACUAUGAACUACACAUAUUUAAAUAUGUAAUGUGACUCUGAAAUUCAUUUUAAAAUCAUGGAACAGACACAGGAAGCUGAUUUCAUUUGCACCGCCAAAGUUCCUGAUGUCCUACAAAAAAGUGGUUGGUCAUAUGUUUCAUGUGCUAUGUGCAGCCGCAAAUUAGACAAAUAUGGAACAACCUUACGAUGCCCAAAAUGCAUUUCUGAGACUGUCACUGGCGUUGUGAGGUAUUAAAAUAUUUCACUGGCGAAUUUCUUCUUGAUGCAAGGAGUUUAAAAGCUGUUGCUAUUGAACACCCAAAGGGUGCUAAGAAAGAAAUUGAUUCCAUUUAUUACAUAGACUAUGAAAACUA